GAUGAACGCUGGCGGCGUGCCUAAUACAUGCAAGUCGAGCGAACAGAUAAGGAGCUUGCUCCUUUGACGUUAGCGGCGGACGGGUGAGUAACACGUGGGUAACCUAUCUAUAAGACUGGAAUAACUCCGGGAAACCGGGGCUAAUGCCGGAUAACAUGUUGAACCGCAUGGUUCUACAGUGAAAGGCGGCUUUGCUGUCACUUAUAGAUGGACCCGCGCCGUAUUAGCUAGUUGGUGAGGUAACGGCUCACCAAGGCAACGAUACGUAGCCGACCUGAGAGGGUGAUCGGCUACACUGGAACUGAGACACGGUCCAGACUCCUACGGGAGGCAGCAGUAGGGAAUCUUCCGCAAUGGGCGAAAGCCUGACGGAGCAACGCCGCGUGAGUGAUGAAGGUCUUCGGAUCGUAAAACUCUGUUAUUAGGGAAGAACAAAUGCGUAAGUAACUGUGCGCGUCUUGACGGUACCUAAUCAGAAAGCCACGGCUAACUACGUG
rnacentral:rRNA from 1 species